rnacentral:lncRNA from 1 species
GUUAAAUUCCUCCAUUUCAACCAGGCACACCUCUUUCAUUUUAAGUUCAAAUAAAGUGGCAAUCAUUUCAUGUCAAAGCAACACUUUAUGGUGUCUUCUACUGAAAAAAUCAACAUACCUUACAUGGCAUAUAAGAAAGAACUGGUUCCCUGAACUUCGGAUGUACCAAAACAGGUACUUCAGAUCUGACAAACAGACCAAAUGUACCCUCUUUUUAAAAUUGCUGCAGUUUUUUAAUAUUUAAAAUUAAAAGUCCAAAAGUGUUCUACAAUGAUCACCAGUCCUUCAGCUUUCAUUUGAUGCCAAAAAUACCUAAAUAUCCUACAUAUUUUGAAAGUUACACUCAUGCGUAGGAACUAUUUUGCGUUAAAUAUGUACUACUUUCUGGUAUGUGCUUUCUGGCCGGGCCCGAAUUAGUGGUGUUACACCUUAACCAGUUGAAUGCUGAAAUAGGGACGAAAGAUACCAAAGGGACAGUCAAACUCAUAAAUCUAAAACAAACUGACAACGCCAUGGCUAAAAAUAAAAAAGACAAACAGAAAAACAAUAGUACACACGACACAACAUAGAAAACUAAAGAAUAAACAACACGAACCCCACCAAAAACUAGGGGUGAUCUCAGGUG